UGCAGACAGUCUUCAUUUGGACGGCUACACCAUGUUCAAACGCAACAGACAUGUGUCCUACACAAACUUUCCUCACAUGGCCAGCAGAAGUGGUGGUGGAGUUGUUGUGUAUUUGAGGAAUCAUUUUCAGGUUCAGGUAAAACAGUAUCUGCAUAAUGUCACUGAUCUUGAGUUUUUAGUGUUGAAGGUUCAGGCUCCAUUCCCUGCGCUCAUUGCUGUUGUGUACAGACCUCCAGACUACAGUUUGACACCGUUCAUGCAAAACCUGCCACAGCAAAGUCUUCAUUCAGGUGUCCUGAGAACAUAUUACAGUUACCACAACCCUGUGUUUUGUGUCCUGUCCUUGAGCCAAUCAUGAAGUCGUCUGCUGAAACAACAACAUCUUAACCCCAUCUUCAUGAACUGCUGAGCCAAACCUGAUCCAUCAGUGCUGGACUGCACAGAUAACUACAUGCCACAAGGAGACUGCUGUGUUAUGAACUGCCAUACCAGUGUGUCUUCAAUGGAGAAGAUGACACACCCAUCACCUGACCUCCUGCCUGAUCUGGAGACCAUCAUCAUGCUGCCACACUACACACCUCUGAGACCAUCAAUGAUGACUCAUACUGAGGAAACUGUAUUUCCUGUCAGAGAUGCUCAGUGAUCCUCAGAGCAGAGAGAG
ensembl:lncRNA